AUCAGAUAAAAUAUCACAAUAUUAUAGUAGAUCAGCAUCUGGUAAUGACUUGAAUUUUGAAAGACUGACAAAGCGCAUGGCCCGAAGCAGCCGGGCAUACCUCAUUCAGAGCAACUCUUCUCAGAGCUGAUUGCUCCUCUCAAAUGUUUUCUGGCAGAUUAAGCAGGUAGGGUUUCUUUUUUUAACUCUUCUAGAACUGUCCAUGCCACUGGAAAAACACUGGCAAUGUUCCUUUUGAGCCUGGCAACAAAAACAAAUGAUGUAUCUAAAAGUAAAAGCUUAUCUCAGCAGUUAUCUCAAAUUGAUCAGUUUUAUUAAACUCAAAUCAGUUUUAUUAAAAAAAAUAUCCCAGCAGUAGGCAGAGCUUUCAUUUCCAUCUGUAUAUUCUGUGCAUGGCAUUGACUUUUUAUUCUUCUUAUUUUUCUUACUAGCAAGGGAAGAUUGGCAGGUUAUUGGAAACUGCUCUCUGGGAACACCUUCCCAUUUGACCAUGGAUGGCUGGUAAACCAAGCUAUUCCUCUCAGCCUUGCAUGAGUCCUAACCUAACAAAACCAGAUAGAGCCAAGUUGAAAGAAGCAAAUUUCACAAAGUAGCAACUGAACAAACCUGUGUGUUAGAGUGGAGUUUAGCAGCUUUCUUUUUCUCUUAGAUUACUCUUUGUUAGAGACCAGUGAUGUCUUCAUUUAAUUGUCUCAGCUUACCAGGUGCUGUGAAGGCGUGGAGUGUUGUAUUUGUGAGCGGGGCCAAGGUACAGAAGGGCUGCAGUAGAUACAUGUACAACCCACAGUCUCCCCCCUUGUUGGCAGCUCCUCCCACAGCAGGGCCCAGCUCCUUCUCAGAGGGAUCAGGGAUCAUCUGAUCUUGCCUGCCGCAGUUGGAGUAGGCUAUCACUUGCAGGGAAUUGGACCAGUGGCUUCAUCUAUGAAAAAGGGAUCUGUUUGCUCUCUUGUUCCUCAAAUUGUAUGGUGCUCUUUGCUGUGCAAAGGGUGGAAGCAUUGAACUCUGUCCAAGCAGUGUUAAAUGAAACUUUCAUGAUCACGAAUGAGAUGAAAUAACUGCCCACUGCAUUUAGAAAUACUUUGCUUUUGUGAAAAUGAUGUUUCUCAAAACAUCUGUCACUUGCCUUAAUGUGGCCUGCCAUAACAAAAUACCAUUGACCUGGUGGCUUAAGCAACAAAAUUUAUUUUUUCACAGUUCUGGGGACUUGAAGCCCAACAUCAGAGUGCCAGCAUGUUGGUUCUGAUGAGAUAGACAGCUGUCACCCUGCUGUGUGCUUACAUGACAUCCUCCUGUGUGUAAGUGCUGGGAGCAAGCCAGCUCUUUUAUGCCUCCUUUAUAAUUAUACAAAUCUCAUCCUAAGGGAUCCACCAUCAUGACCUCAUCUAACCUAAUUACUCUCCAAAGGUCAUAUCUCUAAAUAACCAUCAUAUUAGCGGUUAAGACUUUAACAAAUGUAUUUUUAGGUGAUACAAUUCAGUCCUUAGCCUGACCCAAUAGUAUUAUUUUGGCGAAGUUAGUAAGGUUGAGACAAAAAGAACCAGACCCAGUCUUCAAAAAGGUUCCCAACACAUAUGCAGUAGUAAUAAUAUGUAAAAGGUUGACCUGAAGAAUAUCAGUAGUUCAGUCUCUAAUGGGACAAAUGCCAGCUGAGUCUUGCUAGCCAUGUUCUUUAUCUUUUCAGCCACACCACACUCAGUCAGCCCUGCCAUCUCUUCAUUUAGGCUUUUAGAGGAAGCAGUCAAUCCUAAGAGAGAGUGUUUGUGCUGGGAAUUAAAUGAAAAAAUACAAGUUUUAGGAUACCAAUGCUGUCAACGCUUUUUUGUACUUUACACUUCCUACCUUGCAGUAACAUGGAUUAAUCACUGAUUACCAAAUAAUAAAAUUAAUCCACAAGGGAUGAUUUCAUUCAGCCCGGAAAUGUUCAGUUAUAUUCUGAAAACCAACGUUGGAAAAAUAACUGAUUUUCAAAGAUAUCUAAUGACCCAAGUAGAAAGUACAAAGGAGUUUGUGGAAAAUCAUGGGUUAAUUACACAAUCCUGUAUCGGAGCAUUCUAUUUUGUAUAAUGUUUCCCUUCACAUAAUUCAUCACUGAAUGCUUUGGGGAGAUGGACUGGGAUUUACAUUUUACUAUUGAAAUAUUGAGCUUCUUCAAGGUCAUGCGGUGAAAUCUAGAUGAUAAAUUUAAACAUGAAUUGCACAAUAUUGAAAGUUGAAAAUGCCUUUCCCAGUGGUUUUUUGUUUUGUUUUUGCAUUUUAGUUGUUUAGCCUAACAGGGACAAUCAAAAAAGCCUGUGUUAUUGUUUUAACUUGUCAUUUUGUAGUCUGGGCCAUGAAGAGCAGUGCUGGCCAUGUUAAAAAGAAAGACAUAUUACUGUCUGAGUUACGGUAGGCAACUUAGGUAAAAUGCUACUGAGGCAAUUUCAGUUUCCAAAUUGAAAACAUUUCCAUUACUGCUUGAAGACACAUUAAGACGUAUUACAUAAAUAGUGAUAGCGAUAAGGCAAUCAGCCGAAUUAUUUUCUGUUUGCACUUUCAUCCCUCAUCCUUUCAUCAGAACCUUCUUCUUGAAGGUUAAAAGAUGGUGCAGCCAGUCGUGAUAGAGCCAUCUGAAGUCUGGUCUGAACAUUGAUUCUUCUUGAGUACUGUUGUAUGCAUAGUACUAAUGUAAUUGCGUGCAGAAUAAGCCUUCCUAAUUUAAGACUGUGGCUUGAACGUUUUGUUACCACCCUCCCAUGUUGGAUUUAUGAAGUGCUGAUCUCUUGGGAAUCACGGUGGGAAACAGUCCGAGGAGUACUCGAAGACUGGGAGGCAGUAGAGGUAUGGCACUCCUGUCAAGGAGGGCAAGAAUCAUCAACCUCGGAAAUGCAUGGGCACAUUCCAACGACUGCAUCUGUUGCUCUUCUGUAUAUAACUUGUGUUGAAGUUUUAGGUGACAGCAAAAAUUCCUGUUAGUUACCUUUCCAAUUAUAUUUGAAUCUUACACACUGCCAAGGGUAAUAUCUGAGCUUGCCUUUGUUAAAUAUAUACCCCAAAUCUAAAUUUGGCACAUUUCAAGGUUCUCAAAUUAGAAAAGAUUAGCCUUCAUGUGUGUCAAUUCUUGCUACAUGUUCAUGGGAAGUUAUUUAACUUUUGACUUCAACUUUCUCAGUCUAAAGGCAACUCCCCACACCAAUCAAACCACAUGUCUUGGUAUGUGCUUUCAAAGAUAGUUUAGUUCUCUCUGGUCUGUUGUAGGCAUUGCAAACAGAAAGUUGCUAAUUUCUAGAAGCCCUGAAGGGAAGGUACUGGUGUCAGAAGCUUAGUGACGGAGCCCGGAGGGAAACUUUUCUGUCGUUCUCUCGUGGCCUGAAGAGUGGGCCUUGGACCUUGCUGACUUUUCCAUAAUAAAACCCACCAACCAAUGAACCAAUCAAUAACAUAAAUUAAAAAUUAAAACCUUGAAAAUAUUAUUUUUAUUCCUACUCAUUUCUCGGCUUAAUUCUAUAUAUUUAUCAGAAAACUUGGUCAUUAUGUAAUGGAGUAUAACAAUUGUUGGAUAAAUUAUUGCUGUAAAAACAUUAUAAAAGUACAUACGUAAGUAGAUUUCUAAGGAACUGCUUUGUUGGAAAUGAAAAAUUGUUAAAUAUAAAAAAUGAUUAGUGGAGAAAAACCAUCUGAAAAAAAUGGUAGUUUAGCUGAGUAAUGAAUGUUAAGAUUAACAUAUUCCGCAAAUUUAUCAAUACUAUGGCUUGGCAUGUCCUUAUUCCUUUCCAAAAUUAAUAGUGACAGAAACCAAGACCCUAUUAAUAUUUUAAUAGUCUAAUAGACACAGGCAAGUAUGCAGCUGAGAAGAAUGUAAAUCAGUGGCCAGGGCUCUGGGCUCUCUGGGAGAGUUUGCCAAGUGGGUGAAUUAAGUCCUCCUACUGUGUUCUUAACUUCUUCCAGGGCUCCUCCUCAUGCCAGCAUCCACUUUUGUCAGUUGUUUAAUUUUGAAUACAAGAAUGUGUUUACAAGGCAAAAUUUACCAGAGUACUUAGGAUCCUUCACACCCACCUUGUGUUUUUAAGAACCAGUAGUGUUCACGUCCAUGUGUCUCCUUCAAUGCCGUAUCACCUGGAAUAUGGUGGGUGCUUUCAGAAUGCGUGUGUGUAUGGGAAUUUAAAGGAAUAGCUUUCCUGUGAUUAUAGCUUGAGUAUCUCCUUGUUCUAAUCAUUUCCAAAUUCAUUCUCAAUAGAAAGGAUAUCAUAUGCAUAUGAGAUACUUUAAAGUAUAAAACUGAAUGAAAGAAGGAAAGAAAAACUAACACAUGUAUGUAGUGUGGUUCCUGGGCCAUGAUAGGUCCUCAAUAGUGUUAGCUUCCUUUUGAUUUUGCUUCUGAGGCCUUUGCCACUGGGACUUUGCAUGUGGCACACAGUAUUUCCUACAGCUGCUCCAAGUACCUCAGAGCUUUCAGCUGAAGACAUAUUAAUAGUUUCCUCUUGUAAGAAUAUGCACGUAUGAUUUGAAUACAAAUGGGGUUGUUCUUCAGUGGAGGAGGAUCCCUUUUUGGGUACUUUCUUUUGGUGGUUUUGAAGGAUCAUUUGUUGGAGACCACACAGAACCAAAGAGGCCACACUACAGUAUAUUUAGAUACUUAGUUGGAAUUUCAAAUCUAAAUGUCACAACUGAUCUCUGGUGCAAGGGGUGGAGGAAGAAGCUAGUGGAAACGAGACACUAUUCCAGAAAAAAGGGAAGGGGGCUUUUGUCAAUCAGUGUUUUCACUCCAAGACGACUACCCUCAAAUUAGAUUUGGUAGCAGCUGCUGGAAUCCAAAGAAGAGCACACUUUGUUUUUAGGGGCCCUGAUUUGUAUGCAUGUCCUUCUCCAACGUGUAGCACAGGCUUCUUGAUGACAGAUCUGUGCCACUUGUUUUUAUGUGCCUGACACACAGUAGGUGCUGAGCAAAAGUUUGCUCAGCAAUAUAGUGUUCUCUUUUAUUAAAGGCAGUGAAAUAACUUGAAAUCAGUAGGAAGCUUUUGAUGUACAAGAUACUAACAAAAACAAGAAGUGCUUAUAUUUUGUUUGCAUGCUUUAAGAUGUGGAAAGCUACAUCUUAGUAAAAUAAAUGUUUAAUAUAUGUUGGUAAAAAAUAACCUGCUUGGUGAUGGUGAUGGGACAACCAUGUUGGAGGCAGCUUCCUGAGGUAUAAUAAGAGCCCUGGACUCGGGAUUUAUGAACCAGAGAACCAUGCUGUGGUUUCCAGAGACUUUUGCUUUUCGGGACCUAGUUUUCCCAUCACAUUGAAGAGACGGGCUGAGGUACUCUUACAGGAAUUUCAGGUCAUUUGGUCCUGAAACCGUAUCACCUAUCGGCAUGAUCCUGUUAGGUUCUGCCUGGCACUGCCAGAAAGCCCGAUCUCACUAGCCCCAUACAAAGUACUUGAACAUUCCUGGCACCCUGUUCACUUUUUUAAAACAUGAAUUUACCCAUAUUUUUAAACACUUCUGUGCAGUACGUACAAUUACAUUUAUUGUGAGGAGCUGGUACAUGUCUUUCCUGAUGCCCUGUUCCGAUUUGGAAUCCUCUAGAUGCUUUUUCUAGUCUCCCUAUUUUGUGCUUCUCACUCUCUUCCUCCAGGCUUGCAGCUUUUGCCUGCAGCUUCACAGUGGUUCAGAUAUGGUGUGGUCUUUUUCACCUCCCCACUGCCCACUGGGGAGGAGUCCUUGCAAGUCUCUGUCCUCUCCAGCCCACCUCGUCUCCAUUUGGCCCCAGCAAGAAUUUAAAGUCUUCUAAGGCAUUUUGCCCUGUCUGAAUUUUGGGGUGAAAGCUAUGCUGCUGUAAAGCUCUGAGGCCUUUUUGCUAGCACCAAUUCACCUCCAUGUAUUUUUUCAGAACUCUCCCACCUUUACUACGUAGUGCUAAGGAUUAUUUGUUGAAUGUUUUCUCCAUGCGAUGUAUGUGAGAGGCAUUUACUUAUGUAGCUGUUUGCUUAUAAGUCUAACCCUUCGAGCUAUUCUUGAAAGGUAGAUGCAUUAAUUUUAGAGAUGAAGAAGUAUUCUCAGAUUGUCUAAGUAACUUGCCCAAACUGUCUGACUGAAGCUUUAGGCUAGUGUGAUUUCCACGUAUCAUGUUAUAUAUAGCAUAUAUAGGUCCUUAUCCAUUCUUUGUAUAACCUUUUUUGUUUGUGUAACCUUUUUUUUUAGAAACAAUACUAUAUAACUGAUAAACAGUUCACCACACUUUAAGACAUAUUAUUUUAUUUUUUCUUGUAUUCUCUUCUACUUUUUAUAUUCACACAUAUUUUAAAAAGUAUAAUAGGUACACAUUCUGAAAAUACUGAUUCUUUAAGCAUUCUUUGUUAUUGUCUCUCGUGUUGUCAUUUUAAUAACUAUGUUUUUCACCAGAGUUAUCAGAGUUACUUUUAUUAGCAAGUGAGAAGGGCAUGGGGUAGGGGAACAGUAUGGAAUAGCAACUAUGGUAAAUGGGGAACAAUUUAAUGGGGAGCAAAUCCUUCUCCAUCAAUGUGCCUGUAUUGUUUAGACAGUCCGCAGCAGAUGUUAUCCUGCCUCAGGAAUGCUGCGAUUAUGAGCUUUGUCAACACAUGCAGCCUUUCACAUACUUUUCUGUUCCUAAAGCAAGGUCACACCAGCCUUCAGACCAUGGGACAACUGUCAUGCUCCCUGGUCCCCAGCCUAGUAAAAUACUAUUUUAUACUCCUUGGUCUUCAGUGUGUUUCAGUUCACUGGUAUUACUGUCUUUGCAGAUCAUGACUGAAACACACACCUGGAUUUUGCUUUUAUACUCUUAGUUCAGGGCAGUUUAAAUGAAGUCUCCCUUUUUGGAGUAUAAAUGUGGAAGGCCGUUUUAAAUCACUGAGGUCGAAUGAGUCUGAUUCCAUCACAGAGGUUCCCAAGGAAGCCACCACUGGAGCAGGGGAUAAGGCGCCCUCCUCAGCCCUGUGACCUGUGCCUACUUGUGUUCUAGGUGGUGGUCGAGGCUUCUCUUCAUGGCCACAAAUCCCAAGUGUCCCAUCAACAAAGCAAAGGGAUUCCAGAAUGACCCAGGAAUUAAGAGAAGUAGGGCAGUUUUCAUUUCCCUCUGAGUCCUGGAAAGUACAAUUCACACAGCUUUCCCUUUAGAUCACUGUGCAAGUUAGAUCUUCUAUGUCUGCUUUGCCUGACUGCAAAGUCACAGCAUUGUCACAUUAUGUUGGUAAAGUCCUACGGUCCCUAGGCAGGAAGAUGGAAGAUCUCUCGGCAGCCUCCUCUGCCUGCUUUAAAACUGCAAGUGUUAAAUUCAGGUUCCAUUAUUUUUUCAAAUAUACGACAGAGACAGUUCUGAGAUUGUGUUAAUGAGAACGUGGACGGAGAUGGUGCCUCAGGACAGCUUCAGAGAGAGGAGAGCUGUGAAGUGCUUUAUUUAACAGGGUAACCUUUCUUUUGGGACUAGAUUCAAGUAUCAAAUUUCCUCUUUUAUCUCAUUAGACAGAGUCUGUAAUAGAGACUUUGAAUUUUGACUUUGAGCUGUAGGAUUACAGAGACUUUCCUCUUUCUUUUAACUUCUGGUCAUUCAUUUGUUUUAUCUAUUACCAGUGCAUGGUAUGGGCAUCAUCACUGGAAGAUCAGUUACAGAAAAUGAGCCCUUGAAAAUGGAAAAAAGUCUUAACAUUCAAUUGUCUAGUUCUAUGUCCUUGAUUCAAAUUAUUUUACCCUUUGAUCUUGGCCCAAUUUAAGUGUGACUGUUAAUCAUUUUUCUUUAUUUCUCUUAAGAAAGGAUUUUGCCAUUCUCAUCUGUUACUGAGAAUCAUGUUUUUUGUUUAUACCUGUCCCCAGGUAUGCCUCUUUGGGCAUAGAAAGCGGUUCUUUUUUUAAAAAAAUUUUUAUAAGUUUGUAAACUGACACUGUUUGUAGCAUUGUUUCUUUUGUUAUCAGGUUCUUGUUGUUUUUGAUGGUUCUAUAACGUGUGCAGACCAAGUAUAGGUAAUAGAGUAAAUGUAGUACAAGCGAUGCAUGUGACACAGUAUUGGAAAACUGUCAUAAAUGAGAGAAGACACUACACCUUCUGUCUUUUCAUUUUGAAUAAUAAUAAAAAAGAGAUUAAAAGGAGGGUGAUAUUUUGGCUCUGUGUUUAUAUAAAGAGCUACAGCAGUUCUCAAGAUGUCUACACAUAUUCUUGUUCUGUAUUUUUCUAGGAGUAAGAAAACCUAGGUUAGGAGGAAUAGUAUAUUAGACUAGCCAUAUUCUUUAAUAAUUUUCCUUGUACAGGAACUAAAGAUCCUGAGAUUUUUCUAGAUCAAAUGACUUACCUGCUAAGUCUAGUUAAGUUUUUCCCCGUAUUUCUGUUUUGUUAAAUUUGGUCAGAAUUGUGCAAGAAUGGCAAACAUCUGCCUGAGGAACUAUUAAACUAAUUUUCACUUGCAGUUUUUAAACUUUCAUGGUUCAUUUUUAAUUUUGUAACAAAUCUUAGUUUGAUCUUCAGCUUUGUCUCUGAAUACAAUUAUUGUUUAAAUACCAAAAUAUUUGAAAUGUUAAAGCUCUUUUUUUUUUUUUGUCUUUUUCCUUUUUAUGGGUACCGGGGAUUGAACUCAUGACAGCCUGCUUGCAAGGCAGGCGCUUAUGCCGCUGAGCUAAAUCCCCAGCCCCCUGUUAAAGCUCUUUUAACAGGAUGCUCUCCACCCUAAAAUGCCAGCUCCAUUACAUGUUUUACCUGAGUUUCCACCAGCAUUUAAUGUGUAUUAUACGUAUGUGCAUACACCUAUAAUACAUAUACUUACAGCAAUCAUGGAGGGUGAGAAUGAUUUACAUACAGAUGUAGAAGGUGAUGUUUCCCACUUCAGCCACAAUCCUGUUGCUCCUCAGACUUUCUAGGUACAAGAUUUGAAUAAUUUCGUCCCUACAGUUGAGAAUCUGUUUCUGACUUGAGACUUCAUGUAGAUAGCUCUUCGCUGGAAGAGCAAACUGUCCCUUCUACUCUCCCAGGUGCUUAUCCAGAGCUUCAUCCUUUUGUUUCAGUGUUUUUUGUGCACUGAAUCUUUAUCUUCUGGCUUUCUUUCUACCUGUGGCAGGAACCUCUGUGUAGUCACGUGCAAUUUUCUCUGUUUACCAUCUUAAAUUGUGUACUCCAGUCCUUCCUGAGAAAGUCUACAAUCUGUAAACUGGGAGAUUGCUAUGGUCUUGCUAGCAGUGUUCAACCUGCAUUAUUGCUCAGGCUGUUCUGGCUUUUAAGUAAAUAAGAGAGUACAUUUCUAUAUGUAUGGAUGGAGUUAAAAUAUAAAAGCUUGACUAUCGGACAUGAAUCAGAUGUGCUCUGCAGACUAAUCCAUUAUUCAAAUAUAUCUGGAACUACAUGAAUUAAUCUUAAUCAUGUCUAUUCUUUGAAAAAAUUAACAGUUAAAAAUUGCAUAUCUCAUUAUUAAAAAUGAUUUUGGAGCUGAGAUGCAAUCUCCUAAAUGAAGGAAUAAAAAUAAGAGCAGGACAAGCCAGCAAACCAUUUUUCUUCCUAAACACUUGAAAUAAAUGAAGAUCAAGAAAUGCUAGACAUCGUUACAUAAAUCAGGGAUCUUAUGACAUUUCUAAUAUUUUAUUAACAAAAUUUUGAUUUGAUUUAUCUAUUUAAAAUAACUAGCAAGGCAUUGUCUAAGUGCUAAAACAUAAAUUACAAGCGUGAAACUUUGAUUUAUGCUAAUGGUGGAUGAUACGGGGAUGUGACGAGUGAUCAGACCGCAGUGCUGUUGGUGAGGCUGGAGGCACAGGAACGUGUGGAGGAAAGUGCUGCCCUGGGCCCCGUUGCCUGAUAUGUAGAUGACGGCUGUCUUCCGCGAAAUGAUAUAAUUGUGAUGAUGGGACCUUUUGCUUCUAUGUCAGACAUCUCCAACUUUUAGUGAAAUCCGCUUGACAGUUCCAAAUACCUCCAUGUCUCUCUGAUGAAUCAGAAACAUGCAUAUUCUACAAGGAGAGUGUGGAAGUUGACAAAAGAAAACUCUCUACUUAGGUAAAUACCAGGUCUCUCUGUUAAAUGCAGCUGCGUCAAAGAAUCCUUCCCCAAUCUCCUUACCCAUUGUCCUGUUUAUUUCGUGCACUUUGUACCCUUUAUGACUCAUUUUUAGUGUUCACUUAAUUUAUUGUUUGUCUCUAAAACUGAUGUCUUGUGCAUAGGUACAAAAUCUGUUUUAUUAAUUGCAAUAACAGUGCACUUCCUGGCACAAUGUAAGCACUCAAAAAUUUCUACGUUCUAGAAUAAAUUAUAAGAUUGCAUUUGGAAAAACACACUCUUUAAUUUUUAAUUUUUGAUUAGUACAUGUUUACAGUACCAAUUUGUUGUAGGACAUUGCUGCGUGUAUAUAACACACCUCAAUUCUUUUCUCAUCCCCCUCCUGCCUCACCCUACCUUUUCCUCUAUCUUUUGAUUAUCUUCCCAUUUGAGAAAGACCCAUCUCCUUCCUCUUACCAUCUUUUAUUUUGCUCUUUAUUUAUAUUAUGGAUUUAUUUAAUUUUAAAGAGUAUAUAAAACACUGUUUUAAAUGUCUGUGCCCAGAAGCCUGACAGAUAUCCUUUCAGAUGCUGGGUUGUAUUCUCUUUCUAAUAAGCUUCUUCCGUGCGGUUGGACUCUUGUGUUCUGAGUUCCCAGGCCUCUCUCCCAGAGCCCUUAGCCUUCUUGGUGCGCAGCGGCCCCCUGCCAGUGCUCUGCUGAAGGGUGCUGUUGAACAUGUGAGCGCAUGUGUCCCAGAGCCCUGGAAGCUGCACCUCAGUCUUCCCCACUCAGUAAGUUCUCCCAGGGUGUAAGUGAGUGUAUGGCUUUACUGGAGUCACUCUGAAUCUAUUUCUAAUUUAUAUUACAAGUCAAAUGGAAACCAACUAUGAAUUUUUGUUUUUUUCUCUUUUUUUGGUAGUGAUGAAUUACUUAUCAUAUACUUCACAACCAGUCAAGACAACUAAGUAUGCCAUAAUAUGAGAUUUUUUGAACUGACAUUUGAAAAACUGGUUUCAAAUUUCUGGGAAGAAUUUUGUUGUUUGUAUAACUUUGGAGGAAAAAGUAAAUGCUCGUAGUCAAGAGUGCAGGGUGCCAAACUAUGGGAAAGGACCUCAUGGAAAUAGUAAUUGCAGUGAAGCCUACAUUGAUAUUUGUUAGGUAUUACUUCAGAAGUUCUCUCUUGAUAGACAUAAAAUGCUUAUUACAUAGCUGAUCCAUAUGAAACACAAAUACUAAACAUCUUUGGCCUAAAAAUGCAAUUUCAUGUCAUUCAAAUGAAUUAACUUAUUAAUACUUUCUAUCAUUCACCUAAAAUACACAUGGAAAUUAUUUAUAAGCUCUUGAAGAAAGGAGAAAAGCAGCAUAAUAGUGAAUCUUUCGGUGUCUCAGUGUCUUCUUUUUCAAGACAAGUCAACAAUCAAUGAGCCUUGGAGUCUUGCUGGUAUAUUCUUAGCCUAAUGCGGGGUCACAUGCUAUUUGGAAGAUGAGCUCUAGAUCAUAAGAAGUUACAAGUUAGAUGUAAGAAUAAGAUACAUGGAGGAAAUAAAAUGACUUAAGUGUGUUAGAUUAUUGCAACCCUAACAGAUAAUGAAGAAUAACAUUUCUCCUACUAUGAUUCAUACUGUGGCUUACCAUUUAUGCAUUUCCAAAAUAACUUUAUUUCAAAAAAUAAUUUUUCAUUUAUAGAAAAGUUGCAAUGACAGAAUAGAAUUCCCAUAUACUUUUCACUCAGCCUACUGUGACAUUAACAUCUUACAUAGUGACAGCAUAUUAAAACUAAGGUAUUAAUAUAGGUAUAUUAUUAUUGACUAGAGAUUUUAUUUAGAUUUUAGAAGUUUUUUCACUUUAUGUGUCUUUUAUUAUAUUACUUUUAACAUAUAUAUUUUAAUAAUGGAUAAAAUAUGUAGAUGAGAGGGAAAACAUUUUACCUGUACUUGUCUAUAGGUAAUGUUUAGGAACAGGCUUUCCUAGCAUGCAUGAGGUCCUGGGUACAACAUCCCCGCACAUAUGCAUUCCCACACUAACACACAUUCAUAAACACCAUGCACAUUUUAGUAUCAGACUGCUUAACAAUUUUUUUUUUUUUUUUUUGAGACGGGGCUUUGCUAUGCAAUUCAGGUUGGCUUGAACUCACCUUGUAGCCCAGGCUGACCUUAGACUUGCAGUGAUCCUCUGGCCUCAGCCUCCUGAGCGCUGGGUGCUUAACUGUUUCUGUACCCUAUUUUUGAUUAUUUAGAAAUCACAAAUAUUCCCCAUGUGGUGUAGUAUUUGAAAAUACUUUUAAUGGGCUGGGGAUUUAGCUCAGCAGCAUAAGUACCUGCCUUGCAAGCAGGCAGUCAUGAGUUUGAUCCCCGGUACCAGUAAAAACGAAAAAGACAAAAAAAAAAAAAAAAAAAAAAAAAAAAGAAAAAGAAAAAACGAAAAUACUUUUAAAGUAUGUAUAUUUUUUGUUUGUGUAUAUGCAUAUGUUUGGUUGACAUUAUCAGAUUAUUUAAUGCUUGCUUUAACUUUUUCUUCUUAUAAAGGACACUGUAGUGAUUUUCAGUACACAUGAGUUUUGGGCAGUUUUCUUAUUUCUAUAAUUAGAUUACAAGGAUAUCUAGGUAAAGAUUCAAGGAUUUUUUCCUUUCAUUUUAUUUUCUAUUCAAGAGUAACACACCAAACUACCCUGAAAUCUCUAAAAUAAAAUAUGAAAAUGCCAUGCUCUGGAGACUCAUUUUCCUAAGGAAAAGAACAUUUUAUGAGGUCUUUUUAACCUGAACCAGUAAAACUGAAAUGGUUUGCAGUGCAUCCAUGUGAAAGGGACUUGAAGCUCAAGCUUUGCAUUGGUGCUCAUUCCACUCUUGGGAAGACAAGGCAGCCCCAUUAUCUUUUGAUUUGUAAUUAUUUUCAUGAUUGUGCUCUCCUUUGUUACAAUGAAAAGUCAUUACUAGGUAACAGAUGUCAACACACUGGUGGUCCCUGCCCACCAGCGUAGAUAAUUCAUUGUUUCCUGGGACCCAUUCCUGGAGGGCCAUGCGCUUGAGCUGCAGUCAGCAGAUUCUCCUGUUAGCUAUGAGGCAGAACCAAGGAAGCCUCUGGGAUCCCAGGCUCCCGAGCCACAAGCCGCCAUGACUGGAUCCUGGCUCAGUGCCGAUGGAAAGGCUUACUUCUAGCAAAGCACAGAUGUGGAUAAUGGGUAAGUAUGGCUUCUAGAGUUAGACAGUCCUGGGCUUAAAUCUGGAUCCAGUAUCUACAGAAAGGUUUUGAUUUUAAGUAAGUAACCAAACCCCUGAGUCUGAGCUUUCUCGACUAUAAACAUGAGACUGCUAUACAGGCUUUUAUGUCAUUUGAAUAAAAUGUGAAUCUGUACAGUGCCUGUCACAUGAUGCUGCACCAUUGGAUAAAAACCUAUUCAGUGAAGGAUGGAUGGAUGAGUGACCCAUCGACCUGGUUGAACAUGGUUCCAAAAAACAUUCUGGCUAGAAUUUAUUGAUUCAGAUCUUAAAAUUGGCCUGAUAUCAAAUGGGUCAUCGUGAUCAAGAAUGCAGCAGGACCAUGUAUUACAAGCCUAACUACUGGGAAGUUUUCUGUAUCAGGAGCAAUUUUCAGGCCAAGAGAAUGUUUACAAGUAAUAAAAUUUUAAGACUUUAAGGGUCAUUGACAGAUAAUAAACACAUAUUUAGAGUUGGCCAUGCUGAGACUGGGAGGAGCCAAACAAUGAGGCAACUAGCCAGCCUUUCUGGUAAAGCCUUGCAAGCCAUGUGGGGUCCAGAAAGAGAAAACUCAGUGCCCCUCAUGAGCCUACCAGUGUGCAGGCUGAAAAUCAACCGCAAAAUCCCCCUCCCUGUAAGCAACUGGCUGGUUCAGAGCACAGGCUGAGUUGAUAGCAACUAAGGUACAAAAACAACUAAAUGCUUGUGUUGUUUGGUUGAUUUUGCAGGCCUGGGGCCAGCAGACAGUAUGCAAUAUAGCAAAUAUGGGAGAUUUCCUUCUGUCUGUCGUUGAAAUCCAGUAUUGUUCUCACUCUUUUGCUUUGUUCUGAUUGUUUUGCUUCAAUUCAAUAUUCUGUUUUGAUUGGUUUUAUUGUUUCGUUUUUGGUUUGAUUUUGCUAUUCUUGAUGGAAUGGACAACUAUUGUGAAGAUAACAAGAUAGAGACUAUGGGUAGCUACUGUUGUUUUCCUAAAAUCCUGCUUUGAAGUUCUGUACCAAUUUUGCUGCUUUGUUGAUUGGCUUUGUUCUGUUUUGAUUUGUUGAAUUUUAUUAUCUUUAAAAUAAAAAAUGAAAACCCCCCACA